AGCUAGACAUCAUGCUGCGAUCCAAAGAAAUUCAGGAACAAAUGAGAAACAAAGUAAUUGAGAUCUAUCAGUCUGGAAAAGGGUAUAAAGCCAAUUCUAAAGCUUUGGGACUCCAGCAAACCACAGUGAGAGACAUCAUCCACAAAUGGCGAAACAUGGAACAGUGGUGAACCUUCCCAGGAUAUGCCGGCUGACCCAAAUUACCCCAAGAGCGCAGCAAAGACUCAAUCCAAGAGGUCACAAAAGACCCCACAACAACAUUCAAAGAACUGCAGGCCUCACCUGUCUCAGUUAAGAGAGCCGUGACCCAUGGAUUUAUACACCAGGUCACACUUGAAACACACACAUACACAGCAUCCUCGCUGUGUAACAACUUGAACUCACCUUCUAGUGGAACAUUCAGGGAUCCCAAGAGCGGGCUGAACAGCUACAAUCACUCACUCCUGUCCAUUAUUUCAGUAGCUGUGUUUACCUCCUGUGGGUUGAUCCGAGCAGCAACAAACAGACCAUCUCUGGAAGAGUG